rnacentral:rRNA from 1 species
GUCCACGCCGUAAACGAUGUCUACUAGCCGUUGGGUUCCUUGAGGACUUAGUGGCGCAGCUAACGCAAUAAGUAGACCGCCUGGGUAGUACGGUCGCAAGAUUAAAACUCAAAUGAAUUGACGGGGCCCGCACAAGCUGUGGAGCAUGUGGUUUAAUUCGACGCAACGCGAAGAACCUUACCAGGUCUUGACAUCCAGAGAACUUUCCAGAGAUGGAUUGGUGCCUUCGGGAACUCUGAGACAGGUGCUGCAUGGCUGUCGU